AACGAACGCUGGCGGCAUGCCUAACACAUGCAAGUCGAACGAGACCUUCGGGUCUAGUGGCGCACGGGUGCGUAACGCGUGGGAACCUGCCCUUAGGUUCGGAAUAACUCCCCGAAAGGGGUGCUAAUACCGGAUAAUGUCUUCGGACCAAAGAUUUAUCGCCUUUGGAUGGGCCCGCGUUGGAUUAGCUAGUUGGUAGGGUAAAAGCCUACCAAGGCGACGAUCCAUAGCUGGUCUGAGAGGAGGAUCAGCCACACUGGGACUGAGACACGGCCCAGACUCCUACGGGAGGCAGCAGUGGGGAAUAUUGGACAAUGGGCGAAAGCCUGAUCCAGCCAUGCCGCGUGAGUGAUGAAGGCCUUAGGGUUGUAAAGCUCUUUUACCCGGGAUGAUAAUGACAGUACCGGGAGAAUAAGCGCCGGCUAACUCCGUG
rnacentral:rRNA from 1 species